rfam:Pterocles gutturalis contig64097, whole genome shotgun sequence.
CCAAAGGCUCUUUUAAGAGCCACCAAUUCUUUCGUUUGAAGAGCUU